rnacentral:rRNA from 1 species
AACGUAGGAUGCGAGCGUUAUCCGGAGUGACUGGGCGUAAAGCGCGUGUAGGCGGUCAGGCAAGCUGGGUGUGAAAGCGCCAGGCUCAACCUGGCGAGGCCAUCCAGGCCUGCGUGGCUGGAGGCCGGUAGAGGAGUGCUGAAUUCCGGGUGUAGCGGUGAAAUGUGUAGAGAUCCGGAGGAACACCAGUGGUGCAGACGGCGCUCUGGGCCGGACCUGACGCUGAGUCGCGAAAGCGUGGGGAGCGAACGGG